CCUAGAGUUGUAGGCUUUGCCUGCUAUCUCUUACCCAUGUCUUUUGAGUACCUUCGUUUCCCUCGGCGGGUCCGCCCGCCGAUUGGACAAUUUAAAACCCUUUGCAGUUGAAAUCAGCGUCUGAAAAAACUUAAUAGUUA
rnacentral:misc_RNA from 1 species